GUGCAGUCGAACGGUGAUGUCAGAGCUUGCUCUGGCGGAUCAGUGGCGAACGGGUGAGUAACACGUGAGUAACCUGCCCCCGACUCUGGGAUAACUGCUAGAAAUGGUAGCUAAUACCGGAUAUGACGAUUGGCCGCAUGGUCUGGUCGUGGAAAGAAUUUCGGUUGGGGAUGGACUCGCGGCCUAUCAGGUUGUUGGUGAGGUAAUGGCUCACCAAGCCUACGACGGGUAGCCGGCCUGAGAGGGUGACCGGCCACACUGGGACUGAGACACGGCCCAGACUCCUACGGGAGGCAGCAGUGGGGAAUAUUGCACAAUGGGCGAAAGCCUGAUGCAGCAACGCCGCGUGAGGGAUGACGGCCUUCGGGUUGUAAACCUCUUUUAGUAGGGAAGAAGCGAAAGUGACGGUACCUGCAGAAAAAGCACCGGCUAACUACGUGCCAGCAGCCGCGGUAAUACGUAGGGUGCAAGCGUUGUCCGGAAUUAUUGGGCGUAAAGAGCUCGUAGGCGGUUUGUCGCGUCUGCUGUGAAAUCCCGAGGCUCAACCUCGGGUCUGCAGUGGGUACGGGCAGACUAGAGUGCGGUAGGGGAGAUUGGAAUUCCUGGUGUAGCGGUGGAAUGCGCAGAUAUCAGGAGGAACACCGAUGGCGAAGGCAGAUCUCUGGGCCGUAACUGACGCUGAGGAGCGAAAGCAUGGGGAGCGAACAGGAUUAGAUACCCUGGUAGUCCAUGCCGUAAACGUUGGGAACUAGAUGUGGGGACCAUUCCACGGUCUCCGUGUCGCAGCUAACGCAUUAAGUUCCCCGCCUGGGGAGUACGGCCGCAAGGCUAAAACUCAAAGGAAUUGACGGGGGCCCGCACAAGCGGCGGAGCAUGCGGAUUAAUUCGAUGCAACGCGAAGAACCUUACCAAGGCUUGACAUAUACCGGAAACAUGCAGAAAUGUGUGCCCCGCAAGGUCGGUAUACAGGUGGUGCAUGGUUGUCGUCAGCUCGUGUCGUGAGAUGUUGGGUUAAGUCCCGCAACGAGCGCAACCCUCGUUCUAUGUUGCCAGCACGUAAUGGUGGGAACUCAUAGGAGACUGCCGGGGUCAACUCGGAGGAAGGUGGGGAUGACGUCAAAUCAUCAUGCCCCUUAUGUCUUGGGCUUCACGCAUGCUACAAUGGCCGGUACAAAGGGCUGCGAUACCGUAAGGUGGAGCGAAUCCCAAAAAGCCGGUCUCAGUUCGGAUUGAGGUCUGCAACUCGACCUCAUGAAGUCGGAGUCGCUAGUAAUCGCAGAUCAGCAACGCUGCGGUGAAUACGUUCCCGGGCCUUGUACACACCGCCCGUCAAGUCAUGAAAGUCGGUAACACCCGAAGCCAGUGGCCUAACCGCAAGGGAGGAGCGUCGAAG
rnacentral:rRNA from 1 species